UGUGAGACUUGUAGUAAUUAUUUAAUUAUCAAUAAUAAUAAUAAAAAUAAAACGUGUAUAUACGUGAGCGCGAGUGAAUUUUGGGCGGGGCUUAGAGCUCCACCUCCGGGCUGCGGCAUCGCAAACUGGUUCUAAACUAAUCAACAUGGCGGCGCCCAUAAACCGAAGGUUUCGACUUGGAUGGAGUUAAACAACGAAACAAAAAGGGAGUUGACUUUUCAUUUGUGUGUUUUUUGUCGAUGUGUGAAGCUCCGCGAGCCCACAGCUCUCUGUGGUCCGGUUCUGUUGGAGAAAUGAGCGACAGAAACACAAAAACCCAGGAGGCUGUUUGUGUUUACAAGUCCAGCCACCAAAUGAACGGAGCAGGACCAAGGAAGUGAGCGCAGACACCAGAUCCAUCAGGCUGCAGGGAAGCCGUUCAAAAGCUGAGAACAGGACUUGGAAGAGGAGGACUACGACGGGGCAGGCGGCUCCUGGAGCUCGGCUGGCGGUUCAGGACGGAACAAUCCGGAGCGGAGCUGAGAGCAGAGCUCAGAGAAGAAAACCAGUCUGACUCACAGCUUCUCUACAAACUCUUCUUCUGUGGAUGUCAGAAAGAGACAAACAUGUCACAGCUCUUCUACAGGAACUAAAAAAAUAGCUGAUAGACUUAAAAACCUCCAGGUUUGUCUCAUAUGUGAGCAGAACUUCCAGACAGUAAAUAUUCUGUUCCUCUUGCAGUGAGGUUAUUGUGACACCAGGUGGCGCUGUUCACUUUAAAAUCCUCCUGAUUUUCCUGUUUGGCUCUGCGCUUCAUAGAAACUCUGUUUUUCCACAAAUGUUUCAUUAAAAGUGAUCAGAAUAAAAUAUCAUGAUUGAUAAAAACAUUUAUAUUAAUAAAUAUGUUUAGAAUCAUA